UAAUAAGAUGUUUAUAUUUAUUUAUCCCGAAAACAAAAGAGCUAAAAUUUUAUAUAUGUUAAUGUAGAAUAAUUAUUUUUAAUAAAAUUUUUGUAAUUAUACGUUAGUCGAAUUUGUUGAUAUCUGGUUUUUAAAGAAAUUAAUUUAAUUAAGCUUAUUAAUGGUUAUUUUUGAAUUUUAAGUUGUAACUGUUUUUAAAGUAAUAUUGAAAGGGAAAAGCUUUUUAAUAUAUUUUUAUAACUAAUGUUUAUAAUUUUUAUUAUUGGAUUAAUAGUAUCCAUUAUUUAAAGUGUGUAAAAACUUGGAAAUAAUAUUUUAGAUUUGUUUUUAGUUUAAUUAUUUAUUUAAAAUUUUAAUUUAACAGUUUAAUUAAAUAUAUAAUGAUAAAAUUAGUAUAGUUUAAUUUACAUUAUUGUUAAAUUUGAAAGAUUAAUAAAAGGAACUAGGCAAAUAUUCUUCUUGCCUGUUUAAUAAAAACAUGUCCUUUUGAUAUUAUUUAAGGUCAGGCCUGCCCACUGAUUUAUUUUAAUGGCCGCGGUAUUUUGACCGUGCAAAGGUAGCAUAAUCAUUAGUUUUUUAAUUGAAAGCUUGUAUGAACGGUCUUACAAGGAAGACUCUGUCUCUUUUUGAUUUUCCUAGAAUUUUAUUUUUUAGUUAAAAAGCUAAAAUUUACUUAAGGGACGAGAAGACCCUAUAGAAUUUAAUAUAUAAUUGAUGUUUUUUAUUUAAGAAUUUUAAUUUAUUAUGUUUUUAUUUAUUUUACUGGGGUGGUAAGAAAAUUUAUUUAACUUUUCUUUUAAUUUAUCAUUAAUUAAUGAUUAAAUGAUCCAUUAUUUGUGAUUUUAAGAUCAAAUUACCUUAGGGAUAACAGCGUAAUUAAAUUGGAGAGCUCUAAUCGAUAAUUUAGAUUGCGACCUCGAUGUUGGAUUAAAAUAAACUUUAGGCGGAGAAGCUUAAAAGUUAAGUCUGUUCGACUUUUAAAAUUUU
rnacentral:rRNA from 1 species